rnacentral:rRNA from 1 species
UACGGAGGGGGCUAGCGUUGUUCGGAAUUACUGGGCGUAAAGCGCACGUAGGCGGCUUUGUAAGUUAGAGGUGAAAGCCCACGGCUCAACCGUGGAGGGUCAUUGGAAACUGGGGGACUUGAGUGCAGGAGAGAAGAGUGGAAUUCCACGUGUAGCGGUGAAAUGCGUAGAGAUGUGGAGGAACACCAGUGGCGAAGGCGGCUCACUGGACCGGAACUGACGCUGAGGCGCGAAAGCGUGGGGAGCAAACGGG